GAGUUUGAUCCUGGCUCAGAAUCAACGCUGGCGGCGCGCUUAACACAUGCAAGUCGAACGGGAAAGUGGAGCAAUCCAUGAGUACAGUGGCGUACGGGUGAGUAACACGUGGGUAUCUAACUCUUAGUGGGGAAUAACCCAGGGAAACCGGGGCUAAUACCGCAUAAGCUCGAGAGAGGAAAGCAGCAAUGCGCUGAGAGAGGAGCCCGCGGCCGAUUAGCUAGUUGGUAGGGUAAAGGCCUACCAAGGCAGAGAUCGGUAGCCGGCCUGAGAGGGCACACGGCCACACUGGCACUGAAACACGGGCCAGACUCCUACGGGAGGCAGCAGUGGGGAAUCUUGCACAAUGGGGGCAACCCUGAUGCAGCGACGCCGCGUGAGCGAUGAAGCCCUUCGGGGUGUAAAGCUCUUUCGUCAGGGAAGAUAAUGACGGUACCUGGAGAAGCAGCUGCGGCUAACUACGUGCCAGCAGCCGCGGUAAUACGUAGGCAGCGAGCGUUGUUCGGAGUUACUGGGCGUAAAGGGUGUGUAGGCGGUUCUUUAAGUUUAGUGUGAAAUCUCCCGGCUCAACCGGGAGGGUGCGCUGAAUACUGAGGGACUAGAGUACGGGAGAGGAAAGUGGAAUUCCUGGUGUAGCGGUGAAAUGCGUAGAUAUCAGGAGGAACACCGGUGGUGUAGACGGCUUUCUGGACCGUAACUGACGCUGAGACACGAAAGCGUGGGUAGCAAACAGGAUUAGAUACCCUGGUAGUCCACGCCCUAAACGAUGCAUAUUUGGUGUGGGUCAUUCAGUGGAUCCGUGCCGGAGCUAACGCGUUAAAUAUGCCGCCUGGGGAGUACAGUCGCAAGGCUGAAACUCAAAGGAAUUGACGGGGGCCCGCACAAGCGGUGGAGCAUGUGGUUUAAUUCGAAGCAACGCGAAGAACCUUACCUGGGCUUGACAUGCACGAGAAAUCCGGUGGAAACAUCGGACCCUCUUCGGAGUUCGUGCACAGGUGCUGCAUGGCUGUCGUCAGCUCGUGUCGUGAGAUGUUGGGUUAAGUCCCGCAACGAGCGCAACCCUCGUCCCUAGUUACCAGCGGGUUAUGCCGGGCACUCUAGGGAGACUGCCGGUGUCAAACCGGAGGAAGGUGGGGAUGACGUCAAGUCAUCAUGGCCCUUACGUCCAGGGCGACACACGUGCUACAAUGGCCGGUACAGCGCGUCGCCAACCCGCGAGGGUGCGCUAAUCGCGAAAAGCCGGUCUAAGUUCGGAUUGUAGUCUGCAACUCGACUACAUGAAGCCGGAAUCGCUAGUAAUCGCGGAUCAGCCAUGCCGCGGUGAUACGUUCCCGGGCCUUGUACACAC
rnacentral:rRNA from 1 species